GGCGCACGGGUGAGUAACGCGUGGGUAAUCUGCCCUUGGAUUUGGAAUAACUCCGCGAAAGUGGAGCUAAUACCGGAUAGUCUGGCUUUUUAACGAAGUCGGUAAAGGAUGCCUCUGCAUAUGCAUUCGUCCGAGGAUGAGCCCGCGUCUCAUUAGCUAGUUGGUAGGGUAAUGGCCUACCAAGGCAAUGAUGAGUAGCUGGUCUGAGAGGAUGAUCAGCCACACUGGAACUGAAACACGGUCCAGACUCCUACGGGAGGCAGCAGUGGGGAAUAUUGCGCAAUGGGCGAAAGCCUGACGCAGCAACGCCGUGUGAGGGAUGAAGGCUUUCGGGUCGUAAACCUCUGUCAGAAGGGAAGAACGGGCAUUGGUCUAAUAGGCCUUUGUUUUGACGGUACCUUCAGAGGAAGCACCGGCUAACUCCGUGCCAGCAGCCGCGGUAAUACGGAGGGUGCAAGCGUUAUUCGGAAUUACUGGGCGUAAAGCGCACGUAGGCCGCUUUGUAAGUCAGGGGUGAAAUCCCACGGCUCAACCGUGGAACUGCCCUUGAAACUGCGAAGCUUGAAUCCUGGAGAGGGUGGCGGAAUUCCUGGUGUAGGAGUGAAAUCCGUAGAUAUCAGGAGGAACACCGGUGGCGAAGGCGGCCACCUGGACAGGUAUUGACGCUGAGGUGCGAAAGUGUGGGGAGCAAACAGGAUUAGAUACCCUGGUAGUCCACACCGUAAACGAUGGAUACUAGGUGUCGGGGACUUGAUCUUCGGUGCCGUAGCUAACGCGUUAAGUAUCCCGCCUGGGGAGUACGGUCGCAAGGCUGAAACUCAAAGAAAUUGA
rnacentral:rRNA from 1 species